UCUUCGGUGAUGAUUAAUACAGUGACUUUCGUUCUUCUGAAUUUUCUGAAGCCACUAUUUCUGUCCUGAGAAGA
rnacentral:snoRNA from 1 species